rnacentral:rRNA from 1 species
CGAGCGCAACCCUUGUCAUUAGUUGCUACAUUCAGUUUGGGGCACUCCUAAUGAGACUGCCGGUGACAAGCCGGAGGAAGGUGGGGAUGACGUCAAGUCCUCAUGGCCCUUAUAGGUGGGGCUACACACGUCAUACAAUGGCUGGUACAAAGGGUUGCCAACCCGCGAGAUGGAGCGAAUCCCGAAAAGCCGGUCUCAGUCCGGAUUGGAGUCUGCAACUCGACUCCAUGAAGUUGGAAUCGCUAGUAAUCGUGGAUCAGCAUGCCACGGUGAAUACGUUCCCGGGCCUU